rnacentral:rRNA from 1 species
UACGUAGGGGGCAAGCGUUGUCCGGAUUUAUUGGGCGUAAAGAGCGUGUAGGCGGCCAUGUAGGUCCGUUGUGAAAACUCGAGGCUCAACCUCGAGACGCCGAUGGAAACCAUAUGGCUAGAGUCCGGAAGAGGAGAGUGGAAUUCCUGGUGUAGCGGUGAAAUGCGUAGAUAUCGGGAGGAACACCGGAGAUGUAGAUGGCUUACUGGACCGUAACUGACGCUGAGGCACGAAAGCGUGGGUAGCAAACAGG